UUGUGCGCUGUCUUACCUCUGGAUUGUCCCUGAAUAUCUACGGGUAUUUUCUUGGCUUACUGUACGAGCCUACUGUACAGCUGCUGACUCAUGCGCCCGUCCGUUCCACCUUUCGGCAGUUGAAGUUGCAAAAUUGGAGACUCUGCUGAUGCAUUGGUGCGGGGAUCCUCUCUUCCACAAGGAGCUUCUCUCCAUGGGCCAGGGCGGUCUAGAGGUUCAGCAACACCAGUGGAGAAGUCUGGUGAUUUUGCUGGCCAGUCAAGCACACCAACACCAUGGUCAUUUAGCCAACUUUUGGUGCUUUUGCAGUGUGGGCGGGUGCUAAAUCCUGAGGAAAAUGAAAUCAGCUUUAAACAGCUGGUCAGCAGAAGGAAGCAUUAAGUACUCUAAGAUUUUUUGGUAAAUGGGUGCAGUGACUUUGGUUUUCUAAAAACACAGUGGACAAACACCAGCAGAUGGCAAUGCACCACAAAUCAUCACAGACUGUGGAAACUUAACACUGGACUAAAAGCAACUUGAGCUAUGAGCUUCUCCAGCCUUCCUCCAGACUCUAGGACCUUAGUUUGCAAAUGAAAUACAAAACUUGGCAUGUCAACAUAUUUGAAUUUUUUGAGAUAAUGAAUUGGUGGGUUUUUGUGAAAUGUGAGCCAAAAUCAUCACAAUUAAAAGUACCAAAGACUUAAACUACUUCAGUCUGUGUGUACUGAAUUUAUAUAAACACAAAUUUCACUAUUUGAGUUGAAUUACUGAAACAAAUUAACUUUUCCUCAACAUACUAAUUUAUUGAGACGCACCUGUAUGUAAAUGCAAUUAUUAGGCAAAUUAUAGGUAUGCUUUAUUAAUCA